rnacentral:rRNA from 1 species
AAAUUGAAGAGUUUGAUCAUGGCUCAGAUUGAACGCUGGCGGCAGGCCUAACACAUGCAAGUCGAACGGUAACAGGAAGCAGCUUGCUGCUUUGCUGACGAGUGGCGGACGGGUGAGUAAUGUCUGGGAAACUGCCUGAUGGAGGGGGAUAACUACUGGAAACGGUGGCUAAUACCGCAUAACGUCGCAAGACCAAAGAGGGGGACCUUCGGGCCUCUUGCCAUCAGAUGUGCCCAGAUGGGAUUAGCUUGUUGGUGGG